rnacentral:rRNA from 1 species
AUUGAACGCUGGCGGCAGGCCUAACACAUGCAAGUCGAGCGGAAACGAAGGGAGCUUGCUCCCAGGCGUCGAGCGGCGGACGGGUGAGUAACACGUGAGAAUCUGCCCAUUAGUGGGGGACAACUCGGGGAAACUCGAGCUAAUACCGCAUAAUCCCUACGGGGGAAAGCAGGGGACCUUUUGGCCUUGCGCUGAUGGAUGAGCUCACGUCGGAUUAGCUUGUUGGUGAGGUAAAGGCUCACCAAGGCGACGAUCCGUAGCUGGUCUGAGAGGAUGAUCAGCCACACUGGGACUGAGACACGGCCCAGACUCCUACGGGAGGCAGCAGUGGGGAAUAUUGGACAAUGGGCGAAAGCCUGAUCCAGCCAUGCCGCGUGUGUGAAGAAGGUCUUCGGAUUGUAAAGCACUUUAAGUUGGGAGGAAGGGUUGUAGAUUAAUACUCUGCAAUUUUGACGUUACCGACAGAAUAAGCACCGGCUAACUCUGUGCCAGCCGCCGCCGUAA